rnacentral:rRNA from 1 species
CGCAUCUGUGCAUGCAGCAUAUCAAUAAGCGGAGGAAAAGAAACUAACAAGGAUUCCCCUAGUAACGGCGAGUGAAGCGGGAAGAGCUCGAAUUUGAAAUCUUAAAGGGUUUCCCUUUACGAAUUGUAGUUUAAAGAAGUGUUUUCUGUUGAGGUUUUGGUAAAAGUUCUUUGGAAUAGGACAUCAUAGAGGGUGAGAAUCCCGCUAUUUGACCUUUACUUUCAACUUUGUGAUACACUUUCAAAGAGUCGGAUUGUUUGGGAAUGCAGUCCAAAAUGGGUGGUAAAUUUCAUCUAAAGCUAAAUAUUGGCGAGAGACCGAUAGCGAACAAGUACCGUGAGGGAAAGAUGAAAAGAACUUUGAAAAGAGAGUUAAACAGUACGUGAAAUUGUCAAAAGGGAAGCGUUUGACACCAGUGUUGUUUUUCUGAAAAUCAAUUAAAGAACUGUUUAUGCUAAGCUGUUUAGACUUUAUCAGCUAUCUGUUUAGUUUUGAGCUUUUCUUUAAUGCACUUUUCAGUUAACAAGUCAACAUCAAUUUCUUUUGCUGUAAAAAAGCUUGAGGAAGGUGGCUUGAGAUUCGUCUUAAGUGUUUAUAGCCUCUUGCCUAUGCAGUCGGAGAGAUUGAGGUCUGCAGCGUAGAUCCUUCGGGGCUAAAUGCAUUUGUGCUAAGUUAUAGCAUUUUAUAGACAACUUGUUGACUAUGAUUUGUCUUGUAGCUUACUCGCUUAUGUUAUUUUACCUACGCUUAGGAUGUUGAAUCUGUGCGAGACUA